GUAGAGAUAGUUCAACAGUUCAGAGCAUUGGCUUCUCUUGCAGAGGACCUGGGUUCAAUUCCCAGUACCCACA
rnacentral:tRNA from 1 species